GCAGUCGACGACUCUGGUAUUGAUUGGUGCUUGCAUCAUGAUUUACAUUUGAGUGAGUGGCGAACUGGUGAGUAACACGUGGGAAACCUGCCCAGAAGCGGGGGAUAACACCUGGAAACAGAUGCUAAUACCGCAUAACAACUUGGACCGCAUGGUCCGAGCUUGAAAGAUGGCUUCGGCUAUCACUUUUGGAUGGUCCCGCGGCGUAUUAGCUAGAUGGUGGGGUAACGGCUCACCAUGGCAAUGAUACGUAGCCGACCUGAGAGGGUAAUCGGCCACAUUGGGACUGAGACACGGCCCAAACUCCUACGGGAGGCAGCAGUAGGGAAUCUUCCACAAUGGACGAAAGUCUGAUGGAGCAACGCCGCGUGAGUGAAGAAGGGUUUCGGCUCGUAAAACUCUGUUGUUAAAGAAGAACAUAUCUGAGAGUAACUGUUCAGGUAUUGACGGUAUUUAACCAGAAAGCCACGGCUAACUACGUGCCAGCAGCCGCGGUAAUACGUAGGUGGCAAGCGUUGUCCGGAUUUAUUGGGCGUAAAGCGAGCGCAGGCGGUUUUUUAAGUCUGAUGUGAAAGCCUUCGGCUCAACCGAAGAAGUGCAUCGGAAACUGGGAAACUUGAGUGCAGAAGAGGACAGUGGAACUCCAUGUGUAGCGGUGAAAUGCGUAGAUAUAUGGAAGAACACCAGUGGCGAAGGCGGCUGUCUGGUCUGUAACUGACGCUGAGGCUCGAAAGUAUGGGUAGCAAACAGGAUUAGAUACCCUGGUAGUCCAUACCGUAAACGAUGAAUGCUAAGUGUUGGAGGGUUUCCGCCCUUCAGUGCUGCAGCUAACGCAUUAAGCAUUCCGCCUGGGGAGUACGGCCGCAAGGCUGAAACUCAAAGGAAUUGACGGGGGCCCGCACAAGCGGUGGAGCAUGUGGUUUAAUUCGAAGCUACGCGAAGAACCUUACCAGGUCUUGACAUACUAUGCAAAUCUAAGAGAUUAGACGUUCCCUUCGGGGACAUGGAUACAGGUGGUGCAUGGUUGUCGUCAGCUCGUGUCGUGAGAUGUUGGGUUAAGUCCCGCAACGAGCGCAACCCUUAUUAUCAGUUGCCAGCAUUAAGUUGGGCACUCUGGUGAGACUGCCGGUGACAAACCGGAGGAAGGUGGGGAUGACGUCAAAUCAUCAUGCCCCUUAUGACCUGGGCUACACACGUGCUACAAUGGAUGGUACAACGAGUUGCGAACUCGCGAGAGUAAGCUAAUCUCUUAAAGCCAUUCUCAGUUCGGAUUGUAGGCUGCAACUCGCCUACAUGAAGUCGGAAUCGCUAGUAAUCGCGGAUCAGCAUGCCGCGGUGAAUACGUUCCCGGGCCUUGUACACACCGCCCGUCACACCAUGAGAGUUUGUAACACCCAAAGUCGGUGGGGUAACCUUUUAGGAACCAGCCGCCUAAG
rnacentral:rRNA from 1 species